rnacentral:rRNA from 1 species
UACGUAGGGGGCAAGCGUUGUCCGGAUUUAUUGGGCGUAAAGAGCUCGUAGGCGGUUUGUUGCGUCGGCUGUGAAAUCCCGAGGCUCAACCUCGGGUCUGCAGUCGAUACGAGCAAACUAGAGUGUUGCAGGGGAGACUGGAAUUCCUGGUGUAGCGGUGAAAUGCGCAGAUAUCAGGAGGAACACCAAUAGCGAAGGCAGCUCGCUGGGACGGUACUGACGCUAAGGCGCGAAAGCGAUGGGGAGCGAACGAGGA